UAGGGAAUCUUCCGCAAUGGACGCAAGUCUGACGGAGCAACGCCGCGUGAGUGAAGAAGGAUUUCGGUUCGUAAAACUCUGUUGUUAGAGAAGAACAGCGCAUAGAGUAACUGUUAUGCGUGUGACGGUAUCUAACCAGAAAGCCACGGCUAACUACGUGCCAGCAGCCGCGGUAAUACGUAGGUGGCAAGCGUUGUCCGGAUUUAUUGGGCGUAAAGCGAGCGCAGGCGGUCAAUUAAGUCUGAUGUGAAAGCCCCCGGCUCAACCGGGGAGGGUCAUUGGAAACUGGUUGACUUGAGUGCAGAAGAGGAGAGUGGAAUUCCAUGUGUAGCGGUGAAAUGCGUAGAUGUAUGGAGGAACACCAGUGGCGAAGGCGACUCUCUGGUCUGUAACUGACGCUGAGGCUCGAAAGCGUGGGGAGCGAACAGG
rnacentral:rRNA from 1 species